GUUCCUUUAGCGCAAUAGAUAGCGCUUUGGACUUUUAAUUCAAAGGUCGUGGUUUCGCAUACACUUGGGAUG